rnacentral:rRNA from 1 species
AGAGUUUGAUCCUGGCUCAGAGCGAACGCUGGCGGUAGGCCUAACACAUGCAAGUCGAACGGACCCUUCGGGGUUAGUGGCGGACGGGUGAGUAACACGUGGGAACGUGCCCUUUGGUUCGGAACAACACAGGGAAACUUGUGCUAAUACCGGAUAAGCCCUUCGGGGGAAAGAUUUAUUGCCAUUGGAGCGGCCCGCGUUGGAUUAGGUAGUUGGUGAGGUAAAGGCUCACCAAGCCUGCGAUCCAUAGCUGGUCUGAGAGGAUGAUCAGCCACAUUGGGACUGAGACACGGCCCAAACUCCUACGGGAGGCAGCAGUGGGGAAUCUUGCGCAAUGGGCGAAAGCCUGACGCAGCCAUGCCGCGUGAAUGAUGAAGGUCUUAGGAUUGUAAAAUUCUUUCAGCGGGGACGAUAAUGACGGUACCCGCAGAAGAAGCCCCGGCUAACUUCGUGCCAGCAGCUGCGGUAAUACGAAGGGGGCUAGCGUUGCUCGGAAUUACUGGGCGUAAAGGGAGCGUAGGCGGAUAGUUUAGUCAGAGGUGAAAGCCCAGGG